GGUUGGGCAUAUGCUUCAAGGUUUUUCUCCUGAGGGUAAGGGAGAA
rnacentral:ncRNA from 1 species